rnacentral:rRNA from 1 species
UACGAAGGGAGCUAGCGUUGUUCGGAAUUACUGGGCGUAAAGGGCGCGUAGGCGGUUUAACAAGUUGGGUGUGAAAGCCCAGGGCUCAACCCUGGAACGGCACCCAAGACUGUUUUACUUGAAUUCGGUAGAGGUUGGUGGAAUUCCCAGUGUAGAGGUGAAAUUCGUAGAGAUUGGGAAGAAUAUCCGUGGCGAAGGCGGCCAACUGGACCGACAUUGACGCUGAGGCGCGAAAGCGUGGGGAGCAAAC